rnacentral:lncRNA from 1 species
AUGCUCAUGAAGCGGUGUGAGAAGAUGGACAGCUGGAUAGGGUCCAGUUGGGUGCCCAUUGUGCCAGGGACUUCGGCCCCCACAGAGAUGCGGAUGUCCCCUGUCUCGGUCACCUCUGCCUGGCAACCUGGCUCCACCAGGAUGGUGCUAGGGAGCAGAGGGCACAGAGGGUCUGCAUGGAGCCAGACGACACCCCUCCAACCAGAGAUGCCACAGCCCCAGGCCAGGGGACACCCCAACGAUGGUAGGAUACAGAGUCCUGCAGGCCCCUGCAGCCUUGGGCCAGAGAACCCUGCACCAGGGGCCCCAUGGUUGACCCCUCCAUAUCCUCCACCCUGGUUGGACCUCAGCCCACCUGUUACUGUCGAUGAUGAGGCAGGGCCCAUGGAGCUUGUGCCCAUAGCCCAGCUCUCCCAGCAGGUACACAGGGGUCUCCUGGUAGCCCCCCUCAAAGUAGCACUGGGUCAUCUGCAGAGGGUGUGGGUGAGUGCAGCACCCGGGCCCAGCACCCUCCCCGAUGCCUCUCACAGGGCUUGGUCCCCAUCCCAGUGCCCCAUGGGUGCUGUCAGGCUGGUACGGGCAGGACCACCAACCUUGUCCACCCGGGGAGGCCCGGUCUGGGCUUUGGGGGCAUCCUCGAGGCGAAGACCACUGCGGCCAGUGCCCCUCACUCGCACAUCGUCCACGACCACUGGCCGCUCAGGGAUGACAAAGCCAAACUCCCUCAUGUACCUGCACUCCCCACGGGGCCCAAGGAGUAGUCAACGUGAGGUGGCCAGACAGGAAGGCCCUUUGCCAGGGAUCCGGAGUUGGCAAACUCACGUACCGCUCCACGAAGGCUGCCCCGAAGUCCCCCGCACGGGGCGAGCGGGCUGUGGCUGGGUGCUGGUGGGCAGACACCAUCAGGGCACAGUCGGUGCCCCGGUAGCGCAGGUGCAGGAAGCUCUCAGUGCUGAUCUGGGACCUGCAGCAGGUGGUUGGGGACACUCACACCAAACCCCCUGCCCUGCCCCCCACCCCACCCAGCGCCCGGCAAGGACACCUGUUCUGUUUCUCGCGCACCCCGGGACCACCUGGGAAGUCAUCAGGCAGAAAACCCACCAAGGGGGACAACGUAAGCCCUCUGUCCAGGGCACCCUGGGAGCCCACCUGGGGAAGCCCUGGGCCUGCAGGGCGUCCACACACUGCUCCUCCAGGCGGCUCAGCCUCUGGUCCAGCUGCAUGAAGGUCUCAGGCGCGUAG